UGAACGGGACGCAGCGGCGCUUUUCCCUUCUCGGUUUGGGAAGGAAGGAGGGACUCACUACAGCCGGUGCAGCAUGUGAAAGUCCAACACAGGCGACACAUUUUGCAGCCAGUCUCUGAUCAUUAAGCAAUUCCACCGCACUUAUUUCUCCUCUGAAAUGCCGUCAUGCCACGCGUGAAUGUCAGCUGGAUUAUUACGGUGCUCGCGGUGGAGCUCGCGACACUGUCCGCCGCGCACGCUCACAGCUGUCACGAGGUGAAAACGGCGUUUCAGGUGCGUCAGAUCGGCCAGCUGAAAUGGGUGCCGGAAACACCUGCUACAGAUGUGGACCUGUCGAUAUGCAAGCACGCUGGGCCGUCAUGCUGUACGCGAAGAAUGGAAGAGAGCUAUAGAGCAGCGGUCCUGAGAGACACCACCCAGAACAUCAGAUCAUACAGCUUUGAGCUGAAAUAUCUAAUUUCUGCACAUGCUGCCGCCUUCCAGGAUAUGUUCCAGUCUCUAAUCACCUUCUCUCAGAAUCACCUGACCUCUCUGUUCGAGACCACAUUCUCUUCCCUCAUAUCAUCCAUCUCCCCUCACAUCGCCUGCCUCUUCACGGACCUUUCUCGCUUCCUCCAGGGCACCGGCAAUGUCUCUGUUGAAGCUGCCGUUCACUGUUUCUUCGACAGUCUCUUCCCGUUAGUCCACACUCAUAUUGUCAAUCCCGGCAUUGCUGGGAGCAUUGGAGAGGACUCUUAUAAUGGAAACCAGCUUGGCGACUGUCUCCGCAUGACAAGGCAGGAUGUUAACCCCUUUGGGCCGCACCCAAAGGCGAUGGCAGAUACGCUUGCGAGCGCGUUGAGGGCAGGCCGGGUGCUCAGCCUGACGCUCGGCGUGGGGUUGGAAGUAAUGAACAUUACAGAGACGGCGGAGUUGUCCAAGGAAUGUACUCGGGCUCUGGUGCGCAUGCAUUACUGUUCUCAUUGCCGUGGACUCACCCUGAUCCGGGCGUGCAGCGGCUACUGCCUCAACGUCAUGCGAGGGUGCCUGGCCAGCCUCUCAGAGAUCCACAACCCCUGGAGACAGUAUGUCACCGUACUGCAGGAUCUCACGCACAUCAUCGCCGGAGCGCACAACCUGGAACUAGCUUUGCUGGGGAUCAGAGGUCAAGUCGAGGAGGCCAUACUCUACGCUCAGCUCCAUGGGCCCAGGCUAACUGCUACGGUGGAUAAGGUAUGUGGGCACUCUUCAAAUGUGUCUUCAACCACAGUCAGAACGUUUCCUCCAACUUCAGUCACACCGCCACCUGCCAACAGCUCACCGGACGUUCCAGGAGCCGAUAAGAUCGGCAUGUUGGCUCACCUUUACAGUUCACUCCCUCUGAAAACCUCCAAGAGUGAUAGAGGUAGAACUCUGAAAAAAGUUGCACGGGAGUUUACGGGGUGUAUCUCCCGGUAUAAGUCUUUCUUCUCCAUACUUCCGGAGACGUUGUGCGAGGGAGAGAUGGGCAUCGACGAGCUCACGUGUUGGAGUGGAGAUGACGUAGUCAAAAGUUAUACUGCAAGAGUGGUGGGCAAUGGAGUUCAUGCUCAAAGAGAGAAUCCAGAAGUAAGAGUCAGAAGUGCUGACCCUGUGCUUAUGGAUGUCAAAAACAGACUUGAGCUCUUCAACAUGGAGAUUCAAGAGGUCAUGCCGGGUGUGGGGCACAGGGAGUCCUGGGAUGAGAGAGGCAGUGGAGAUAGCAGUGGUGAAUGUGAUGAUGAGGACGGCUGUGAAGGCUCUGGAGAAUCUGUGGCAUCUCCCCCUCUCACAGAAGCUGAUGUAUCCAAAAAUGCAGUGACGGUCUCCUUCCACGACUCGCCCAUCACCCAGAACAAAUCUUCAUCGGAUGCUUCUCUUUCCAUGACCAGCUUCAUCAUCAUCAUCCUCGCUCUGGCACUGCACUGGCCCUUCAUCUGAAAAACCACAAGCGCAUGCACACACAAUGAUCAUAUGCACACACAGGUGAACAUCAUGAAGAAGUGGUUGUUUCAUUAUGUUCCCAGCCCCAUUUUUGUGGAAGCCUCCGGCCGGGAGACUAGCAGUUCUGUCUGGGGUUUAAGAGUGAACACUCUCCACAGACUUCUAGUAUCAGGACAAAACUCUUAUCAUCACUGACUUGGCCUGUGGAAUGCAUGACAAAGUAUAUGCAUGUGUGGAAACAUUGCUCAUAACCACACAACAAAAAAAGAACACAGAAUCUGUCUGCAUAGUCAGCAAGGGAUUUUACCACCACACACAGAGCAUUAUUGAAUGAGUCUAUGAAUGAUAUGCACAUUGUAGUAUGUGUAUAGUUUGAACUGACGCUGAAUUUAUAGGACGAAUGUUUUAAGUAUCAUACAAACUUUUUUAUAAUAUGUUUCAUCAGCUCUAACUGAAACCCAUACAAACACAUAGUUAUAAAGACAUAAAUCUUUCAAAGUAGUGGCAAUGUUCUUGGGCUUUGCUGUUACCUGUUUGCAAAACUUUCAUGGCUUUAAAGGGCUCAAAACAUCCCUUUAAUACUUAAUAUUUUUUUUUCAAUUCCCGCAAUUACCUUCCAAGUGCACUGCUUUUCUAAGAAAACGCGCUUUUAACUUAAA